AGCAGCCGCGGUAAUUCCAGCUCCAAUAGCGUAUAUUAAAGUUGUUGUGGUUAAAAAGCUCGUAGUUGAACCUUGGGCCUGGCUGGCCGGUCCGCCUCACCGCGUGUACUGGUCCGGCCGGGCCUUUCCCUCUGUGGAACCCCAUGCCCUUCACUGGGUGUGGUGGGGAAACAGGACUUUUACUGUGAAAAAAUUAGAGUGCUCCAGGCAGGCCUAUGCUCGAAUACAUUAGCAUGGAAUAAUAGAAUAGGACGUGUGGUUCUAUUUUGUUGGUUUCUAGGACCGCCGUAAUGAUUAAUAGGGACAGUCGGGGGCAUCAGUAUUCAAUUGUCAGAGGUGAAAUUCUUGGAUUUAUUGAAGACUAACUACUGCGAAAGCAUUUGCCAAGGAUGUUUUCAUUAAUCAGGAACGAAAGUUAGGGGAUCGAAGACGAUCAGAUACCGUCGUAGUCUUAACCAUAAACUAUGCCGACUAGGGAUCGGACGGUGUUAUUUUUGACCCGUUU
rnacentral:rRNA from 1 species